GGCGACGUAGCUCAGAUGGUCAGAGCGUCCGACUCAUAAUCGGGAGGCCCCAGGUUCGAUCCCUGGCGUCGCUA
rnacentral:tRNA from 1 species